UUGGAAGGAGGAGGAGCCAGGGCCUUGGGAGGAAAAGACGGAGCUCUGCCCUGCCAACGGAGGGCAGGGCGGUUUGAGCCAAGCCUCCCAGGUCUGUGCCCAGCACUGCGUUGAGGGCUUUCUGGGAACAAGGCUCAGGCUGAGUCCCCAGCAGUGGCGGGCUCUCAGGCUGUUUUUGGGUGAUAUGAAUAUUGAUCUAAUGCAUUUUUAAAAAUUCAUUUGCAGCUGGGCACAAUGGCUCAUGCCUGUAAUCCCAGCACUUUGGGAGGUUGAGGUGGGUGGAUUGCUUGAGCCCUGGAGUUCAAGGCCAUCCUGGGCAACAUGGCGAAACUCCAUCUCUACAAAAAAUACAAAAAUUAGCC
rnacentral:lncRNA from 1 species